GAGAUGUAAAUUGAGAGUUUAGAAUGUUUACCAUGAAUUGAGAUGAAUCCUCCUAUAUAAUUUCCUGGCAGUUCAAGCUCUUGCAAAUCUUUGAACUGAGCAAAUAAAGUAGCGUUUGGAAACCAAGGUUCGGAAUCACUUCUCAAGUGGGGAAAGAAAAUCUUGUGAAUACGAGUAUGAGAAGGGUCACACUCAACUCCCUCCCAAUCGCAACAUUCUUCUACAUACCAGUUUGAGAAAGCUGACGAUUCGUAGCUGCUCAUGGAAUCUUUGAUCUGGAGAAGAGCUGCUCUUUCUUCUUCUAAGCACCCUUGGCUUUGGAACCAAAGAAGCACAAGUAUGAAGCACCUACAGCAACUGUUGCCCUUGGAUGCUUUUUCCACAGUGGAAUUUCAUUUCUAGCCCUUCACCCAA